rnacentral:rRNA from 1 species
GACGAACGCUGGCGGCGUGCUUAACACAUGCAAGUCGAACGGUGAAACUCUUCGGAGGGGAUCAGUGGCGAACGGGUGAGUAACACGUGGGCAACCUGCUCCCGGCUCUGGGAUAACUACAUGAAAUUGGGGCUACUACCGGCUGUUCACCGCUUCCCGCAUGGGUGGUGGUGGAAAGGGUUUCAGGCUGGGGAUGGGCCCGCGGCCUAGCAGCUUGUUGGUGGGGUAGUGGGCUACCAAGGCGACGACGGGUAGCCGGCCUGGGAGGGUGACCGGCCUCACGGGGACUGCGGCACGGCGCAGACGGCAACGGUGGGCAGCAGUGGGGAACAUUGCGCAGUGGGCGGAAGCCUGACGCAGCGACGCCGCGUGGGGGAUGACGGCCUUCGGGUUGUAAACCUCUUUCAGCAGGGACGAAGCGGAAGUGACGGUACCUGCAGAAGAAGCACCGGCCAACUACGUG